CUAGCUAACAUGCAGUCGAGCGGAGAGAGGUAGCUUGCUACUGAUCUUAGCGGCGGACGGGUGAGUAAUGCUUAGGAAUCUGCCUAUUAGUGGGGGACAACAUUUCGAAAGGAAUGCUAAUACCGCAUACGUCCUACGCCAGAAAGCAGGGGAUCUUCGGACCUUGCGCUAAUAGAUGAGCCUAAGUCGGAUUAGCUAGUUGGUGGGGUAAAGGCCUAGGAAGGCGACGAUCUGUAGCGGGUCUGAGAGGAUGAUCCGCCACACUGGGACUGAGACACGGCCCAGACUCCUACGGGAGGCAGCAGUGGGGAAUAUUGGACAAUGGGCGCAAGCCUGAUCCAGCCAUGCCGCGUGUGUGAAGAAGGCCUUAUGGUUGUAAAGCACUUUAAGCGAGGAGGAGGCGCAUUUAGAUAAUACCUAGAGAUAGUGGACGUUACUCGCAGAAUAAGCACCGGCUAACUCUGUGCCAGCAGCUCCGGUAAUACAGAGGGUGCAAGCGUUAAUCGGAUUUACUGGGCGUAAAGCGCGCGUAGGCGGCUAAUUAAGUCAAAUGUGAAAUCCCCGAGCUUAACUUGGGAAUUGCAUUCGAUACUGGUUAGCUAGAGUGUGGGAGAGGAUGGUAGAAUUCCAGGUGUAGCGGUGAAAUGCGUAGAGAUCUGGAGGAAUGCCGAUGGCGAAGGCAGCCAUCUGGCCUAACACUGACGCUGAGGUGCGAAAGCAUGGGGAGCAAACAGGAUUAGAUACCCUGGUAGUCCAUGCCGUAAACGAUGUCUACUAGCCGUUGGGGCCUUUGAGGCUUUAGUGGCGCAGCUAACGCGAUAAGUAGACCGCCUGGGGAGUACGGUCGCAAGACUAACCGUCAAAUGAAUUGACGGGGGCCCGCACAAGCGGCAGAGCAUGUGGUUUAACCCGAUGCAACGCGAACAACCUUACCUGGCCUUGACAUAGUAAGAACUUUCCAGAGAUGGAUUGGUGCCUUCGGGAACUUACAGCCAGGUGCUGCAUGGCUGUCGUCAGCUCGUGUCGUGAGAUGUUGGGUUAAGUCCCGCAACGAGCGCAACCCUGCAUCUUAUUUGCCAGCGAGUAAUGUCGGGAACUUUAAGGAUACUGCCAGUGACAAACUGGAGGGUCGCGGGGACGACGUCAAGUCAUCAUGGCCCUUACGGCCAGGGCUACACACGUGCUACAAUGGUCGGUACAAAGGGUUGCUACCUAGCGAUAGGAUGCUAAUCUCAAAAAGCCGAUCGUAGUCCGGAUUGGAGUCUGCAACUCGACUCCAUGAAGUCGGAAUCGCUAGUAAUCGCGGAUCAGAAUGCCGCGGUGAAUACGUUCCCGGGCCUUGUACACACCGCCCGUCACACCAUGGGAGUUUGUUGCACCAGAAGUAGCUAGCCUAACCAGUAAGAGGGCGGGUGCCAUG
rnacentral:rRNA from 1 species